UACGGAGGGUGCAAGCGUUGUCCGGAAUCACUGGGCGUAAAGGGCGCGUAGGCGGCUCAUGAAGGCUGUGGUGAAAGUCCGGGGCUCAACCUCGGAUCGGCCGUGGCGACUCGUGGGCUGGAGCACUGUAGAGGCGGGUGGAAUUCCGGGUGUAGCGGUGGAAUGCGUAGAGAUCCGGAAGAACACCAGUGGCGAAGGCGGACUCACUGGACUGGUAUUGACGCUGAGGUGCGAAAGCGUGGGGAGCAAACAGGG
rnacentral:rRNA from 1 species